AAAAGUCGUAACAAGGUCUCCGUUGGUGAACCAGCGGAGGGAUCAUUACAGAGUUAUCCAACUCCCAAACCCAUGUGAACUUAUCUCUUUGUUGCCUCGGCGCAAGCUACCCGGGACCUCGCGCCCCGGGCGGCCCGCCGGCGGACAAACCAAACUCUGUUAUCUUAGUUGAUUAUCUGAGUGUCUUAUUUAAUAAGUCAAAACUUUCAACAACGGAUCUCUUGGUUCUGG
rnacentral:misc_RNA from 1 species